GAUGAACGCUGGCGGCGUGCCUAAUACAUGCAAGUCGAGCGAACAGACGAGGAGCUUGCUUCUCUGACGUUAGCGGCGGACGGGUGAGUAACACGUGGAUAACCUACCUAUAAGACUGGGAUAACUUCGGGAAACCGGAGCUAAUACCGGAUAAUAUUUUGAACCGCAUGGUUCAAUAGUGAAAGACGGUUUUGCUGUCACUUAUAGAUGGAUCCGCGCUGCAUUAGCUAGUUGGUAAGGUAACGGCUUACCAAGGCAACGAUGCGUAGCCGACCUGAGAGGGUGAUCGGCCACACUGGAACUGAGACACGGUCCAGACUCCUACGGGAGGCAGCAGUAGGGAAUCUUCCGCAAUGGGCGAAAGCCUGACGGAGCAACGCCGCGUGAGUGAUGAAGGUCUUCGGAUCGUAAAACUCUGUUAUUAGGGAAGAACAAAUGUGUAAGUAACUGUGCACGUCUUGACGGUACCUAAUCAGAAAGCCACGGCUAACUACGUG
rnacentral:rRNA from 1 species